UUAACUUUUGUUGUUUUCAUUUCAGACUGAGAUCAUGGCAAUGCAAUGGUUUGGUGUAGACCUCCCGUGGGUCAAGCGGCGGCCGGAGCCACCGCACCCCACGGAAGCAACAGGUAAGAUACACAGAUGGGUUUAUAAUUAGUACAGAGUACUGAUUACUUUUAAUGAUCCUUCCGCAGGUUCACCUACGGAAA
rnacentral:misc_RNA from 1 species